rnacentral:rRNA from 1 species
AGUUCGGAUUGUAGUCUGCAACUCGACUACAUGAAGCUGGAAUCGCUAGUAAUCGCGGAUCAGAAUGCCGCGGUGAAUACGUUCCCGGGUCCUUGUACACACCGCCCGUCACACCAUGGGAGUCGGGAAUGCCCGAAGCCAGUGACCCAAGCGAGAGCAGGGAGCUGUCGAAGGCAGGCCGGAUAACUGGGGUGAAGUCGUAACAAGGUAUC